rnacentral:rRNA from 1 species
GACAGAGGGGGCAAGCGUUGCUCGGAAUUACUGGGCGUAAAGGGCGCGUAGGCGGCCUUCUAAGUCGAACGUGAAAUCCCCGGGCUCAACCCGGGAACUGCGUCCGAUACUGGGAGGCUUGAAUCCGGGAGAGGGAUGUGGAAUUCCAGGUGUAGCGGUGAAAUGCGUAGAUAUCUGGAGGAACACCGGUGGCGAAGGCGGCAUCCUGGACCGGUAUUGACGCUGAGGCGCGAAAGCUAGGGGAGCAAACGGG